GGUAUUUGAGUCGAGAAACGCACUAUCAUAAAUCAUUGUUUCUACCUGGUUGUAAUGUUUUAUUGUGAAACUAAGAUUUUCUGUGUCCACUUUACAUGUACAUUUGUAUCUAAAUCAUUUUAUGAUGAAUGCCAUAUUUGUGCCAUUUCGUUGGUAAUCGCCACUAAAAAGGUUGGAUCUAAUAAAGGGCUGGUUUAUUAUAUGUGAAGCUCUAGCCGAAAUGCGGAGUGCUUUGUCAGUUAAUCUGCUGGUGUACGGCUUCUGAGGAGGUGAAGAUGCUGCAUCAGAGAUGCUUGCUGACAAGGUGAUUGUUGAGAAGGCUGAGAGAAGUGAUAUUCCUGACAUCGACAAGAAAAAUUCAAUUCUCAACUUCUCUACUAGAUAUCUGAAAAUUAUUUCUACUUAGGCUGAGAGAAGGCUGAGAGGUGAUUGUAUGGACUCUUUUGUUUAA